rnacentral:rRNA from 1 species
UACGGAGGGUGCAAGCGUUGUCCGGAAUCACUGGGCGUAAAGGGCGCGUAGGCGGCUCAUGAAGGCUGUGGUGAAAGUCCGGGGCUCAACCUCGGAUCGGCCGUGGCGACUCGUGGGCUGGAGCACUGUAGAGGCGGGUGGAAUUCCGGGUGUAGCGGUGGAAUGCGUAGAGAUCCGGAAGAACACCAGUGGCGAAGGCGGCCCGCUGGGAAGUGGCUGACGCUGAGGCGCGACAGCGUGGGGAGCAAACAGG